ensembl:snoRNA
AGUGGUCACUAUCACAUCUCAGCUGCUUCCACAGAGCAGCUACGGACCAAAAGGAGCCCAGAACGCCAAUUCUCCAUAAUAAUUACUGUUCUGUUCGAUGCAACUGAUCUGCAAUAUUUCAGAGAAUGUUAGCU